CGGUUUAACUAUUAGUGAGCGGCAAAUUCGAACAUGGGAAAGUGGUAAUGGGUUCUAGUGGCGGCUGCGGACUCUUGACAGGACCUGCAACUAAAUCCCCGAAGUUGCCAACUUGUAUUGCUCCUCUCUAUGCAACCUCUCAGUUGGUCUGGUUCCCUUAUUCAGCUAUUGACCAUCUCCGGCAGGCUCUGGGCGAGAAUGAAAGUAACCGGGACAAUCAGGCUAGGAAGUUGGAUGAAUAUUUUGAGAAGCUGAAGUAAGCCACCAACGACUACAAAAAGAAGCCGCUACGGUCGUAAAGCUGCUCAUUUAUAUACAGAUGGAAACCAGGCCCCCGUGUUUAUAAUUCAGAAUGUCAUUAGUUUUCUGUUUUGUACAAAAAAUAAAUAAAAAUAAACUA